rnacentral:misc_RNA from 1 species
UCUCCGUUGGUGAACCUGCGGAGGGAUCAUUACCGAGUUUACAACUCCCAAACCCCUGUGAACAUACCAUUUGUUGCCUCGGCGGUGCCUGCUUCGGCAGCCCGCCAGAGGACCCAAACCCUUGAUUUUAUACAGUAUCUUCUGAGUAAAUGAUUAAAUAAAUCAAAACUUUCAACAACGGAUCUCUUGGUUCUG